rnacentral:lncRNA from 1 species
AAGCCCCAAAUAUUUAUGAAAGUUAUCCAUGUUUGGUGAAGAGCAAUAUGAUACAAUUUUGAUUCUUUAGAUCCUUGAUUUUAGCUUAUUAUAUGCUUAUGUAUUUUCUCUUUUCUGAUAUUGGUGUCCAGGUAUAGUUGCGUAGUUUCGUGGCAGAGGAGAAUUGUGGAUCCUUCCAAUGAAGGCCUCUUUUCUUUAGUCCGAGGAGAAUUGCGGAUCCUUUUCUAAGGUUUACCGUCUCAAUAUUUUAUCACUUUGAAUUUUUUGUCUGUGGCGUUUCUCACUUUUUCAAAGUCUUAUAUUUUUCUUUUGAUGGUGUGUUGUCGUGACUCUAUACUCUAAGGCUAUGUUGUUGUUUUUAUUUGUUUGUUUGUUUAGAAGUUUUAGAUUUUUAAUUUAAGGUUUGAAUGAAAAUUGGAGGAUUUAAGAGUGGAAUUAUACUCUCUCAUUCCACAGAUUGAUUAAGCAAUCAAAAACUCACCAAAUGCACAUAGGAUUGAAAAAUUAUUUUUUGAUACUCAAAUGACUGUUCCAAAAUGUUAUAGAGGGAACUUUGCAUCUAAUAUGUAGAGUACCAACUCGAAUAUGAAAGUCAAAGGGAUCAAAUAUGAAUGAUACUCUGAAUAGCUCUGAAUCAUAUAGUUGUAAUGAGGUAUAUGAUCAAGCUAUAUUUAUCGAAUUUGGAGAUGGAUGUUUGUUGUCCCCCCAUUCUUUAGUCCCAAUUCCCCUAAACAAAGGGCUGACAUAGAACCAAAUUUUUGUGUUGUUGGUUCUCUCCAAAGUAUUACAUUCUUGUAGAUAGCCUUCGGUUAAAUGAAAGAGGCCGGGUUGGCAUUCCAUAACUAUGAAGGGAUUUUUGUUUCUCAAGUAUUGCAAGUUCAUAAUCUGAUUGUACUUUAUCUUGAACUCAUAUAAGAUGUUAUGUCUACAAACUAAUUACUAUUACUCCAUUGCUAACUAUGCCGAUGUUAAUAAAUCCAUUUUGUUCCAAAGAGGGCUAUUCCUCCUUCCAGAUCUCAAUUGUCAGGAAACCAUUCAUUGCAUAAUUGUAUCUGAAUAGUUAUUUAUGCUAUUGUUCCCUUUCCCCCAAUAAAUAGUUGUCAACUUGGCAUGAAGUCUCGUAUCAUUUAAAAAAAAAAAGUAAAGCACCAAGAACCUGAAUCCAUAAACUAAUGAAGGUAAUUUUGAAAUGUAUGGUUUUGAUUGUGUCAUAUCCACGAUCUAACUUAUGUUGCUUGGAUCCUCCAAAAUGUUGUUGCACCUGUGUUAUAUUGUCAAAGUAUUAUUAACUUUAUCAAUUCUUGAGUCUUGACAGUUGUACACGGUGAAUUAUAUAUUGUAACACGUGUCCCUUUUCCUUCAAAGGAAAGGAAGUUACGCUUUUUCUUCCAAUGGCAAGGAAGUGUUUCAUUCCUUUUCAUCUAGGCUGUUGUGAAAAGUGCCAAAAUCUCCAACGGUGAACUCUGAAUGUGAUAUUUGUUUUUCUUAAAGUUGUUUCUCUAAGAUCUGUGUUUCAAUGCAAGUGCUGACGGUUGGGAAUAGUCUAUUUAUGAAAUUUUGUAUGGAAUGAAGCUUAUGGUUUGUAUAUCUGCCAUAGGGUAAAAUUGUUGCCAAGAUGAGCGAAGAGGUAAUUCAUUUGAACCAUACAACAUAAGUGAGGAUCUUCUAAAACUAGAAGGGCAACAAAAGAACAAAUUUGAUGAUGAAGAGCUAGAGCAUCUUGUUGAGUAAAGAAGGUAACACUAUUUACCUUUUUUCUUAUAGGCCAUCAAGGUUGAGUGAAGAGCUGAAAUAUGAUUCCAAGAAAAGAUUACUUGAUUGGGGUAGUAGAAUUUUUAAUUACAGACAAGAAAAGGGGAUUAUGCUACUAUGUUUGAAUGAAGGUAAUGUUCUUCAUGGUGACUAUUUAGUAUGCGGUAGAUACAGAUUUGCAUAUAUGAUUUUUUUCGCUUAUUAAUUUCUAUUCAAAAUAGAAGGAUUUAGCUUUGACACAAUGUAUUCGAUUUUAAUUCUCGGGAGAGAUGUUGAUAUGGAUUACUUAACGGCUAUUUGCAGGUAUUAAAAUAGCGUGGAUAUGAAUUUCAAGUUCAUUUUGGCAGCACUUAAACCAAUGAAAAAAGUACUUAAAUCAAGGUGCUUUUGGUGUG